rnacentral:rRNA from 1 species
GGCGAACGGGUGAGUACAAGCUUGAUAAUCUACCCUCGUGUGGGGGAUAACUCCUGGAAACGGGAAACAAUACCGCGUAACACAACCGUACGCAUGUGCGGUGGUCAAAGAUUGAGAUGUCGCAUGAGGAUUAGUCAAGCUCCUAUCAGGUUGUUGGUGUGGUAAAGGCGCACCAAGCCAAAGACGGGUAUGGGGACUGAGAGGUUGGCCCCACACACCGGAACUGAGACACUGUCCGGACACCUACGGGUGGCUGCAGUCGAGAAUCUUCGGCAAUGGACGAAAGUCUGACCGAGCGACGCCGCGUGCGGGAAGAAGGCCCUCGGGUUGUAAACCGCUGUUAGGAGGUAGCAAUAAGCGGUAUCAUAUGCCGUGAUGAGUUAAACCCCAGAGAAAGUCACAGCUAAUUACGUGCCAGCAGCUGCGGUAAUACGUAAGUGGCGAACGUUACUCGGAAUCACUGGGCUUAAAGGGGGUGUAGGCGGGCAGGUAAGUCGGUGUUGAAAUCCCUCGGCUCAACCGAGGAACUGGCACCGAAACUAUCUGUCUUGAGGAUAGCA